rnacentral:snoRNA from 1 species
CCGCCUAUUUGCCUCCCGAGCGCUGUUUUUGUGCCUGGUGCCUCGGGACUUCCUAUUUCGGCGGCAAAUCAAAAAGACCUACUCAGCGCGUCAUUGCUGCAAUGCAUCAUGCUGUAGCAAUAUGCUGAGCCGUUUAACACU